ACCGAUGCAAACUCCGAAUACCUAUGAGUACUAUCCGGGAGACAGACUGCGGGUGCUAACGUCCGUAGUCAAGAGGAAAACAAUCCAGACCGCCAGCUAAGGCCCCAAAAUCAUAGUUAAGUGGGAAACGAUGUGGGAAGGCAUAGACAGCUAGGAGGUUGGCUUAGAAGCAGCCACCCUUUAAAGAAAGCGUAAUAGCUCACUAGUCGAGUCGGCCUGCGCGGAAGAUGUAACGGGGCUAAAA
rnacentral:rRNA from 1 species